UUUCAUGGAUUUGAAUUUUAGUGUGUAAGUUUGAUUUAAUUUUCAAGGCAUAUGAUCGAGCUGCGAUCAAGUUCUGUGGCAUUGAUGCAGAUAUCAAUUUCAACAUCAGCGAUUAUGAUGAAGAUAUAAAGCAGAUGAGUAACUUUACAAAGGAAGAGUUUGUGCAUAUUCU